CUACUUUCGGACCUCGUCGGGGCGUGGUGACCUGAGGCGACCCGUGUACUUUUCCUUCAGCGCUGACAUUCCCUCGUGGGCUCCUUUGGCUCUGUGGCUAGGUCGGGGAGGAACUUUUUUUUAAGUGCCCGUGGAGGAAUCGUUCCGUUUAGCAGUGUUUGGGUGACGCGACACAAGAGUAUAAAAGCAAAAGUUGUAACCUCCACCUGUAGGAGUUAGUGACAAGGAGGGCUCGCUCUUGGGGCUAGUGGUGGGGAGGCAGUGGCCAGUUCAGGGCUCAGAUGAGAGAGGUGGCAGAAUUAGAGGCAGCCACUAGGAUGGGGAUAAGGGGUUGUGAACCCACCUGGGGAUGAGGCCUGGUCUUAUGGAAGGUGGACUUAGCUUCGCUGGGCGGACAGCUCUGGCCCAGGGUGAUAGCAGUGCCCUCUCUGGACUUUGCCUAGGUUCCGUGCUUCCUCUUCUGUGGUCUCACUCUUCCCUACUCUUGCCCCUCACUCUGAGGUUAAGGGGUCACUUAAAACCUUGCCCCUGGGUCGUCCGGUAAGCCUGUGGAGGAUGUAGAGUCGGUGCUGGAGUCUUGGGCACGGCAUUUUGUGUUCACCAUGGCAAGCAGAUGGCACCAGGAGAUAUGGAGCCCCUGCCAGUGUGAGUCGUAGCAGUGCAGGAGGGCUCACCCUGGAGGAGACAGCGGCCUCGGUUGACGCCUACACAGUGAAUUCCAGAGGCUUAGGAAGCGCGUCCCUGCCCUGGGUCCAGGCCUUUCUCAGGAAGCCCUGUGCUCAGGAGGCCAUCGUUGAAGUCAGCUUGUAGGGGGUGGGCAGGUGCUUCCAGCCGGAGGGGCCGUCGGCUGUGAAUGUUCCAGAUGAAUGUCUUGUUCUGGGAGCAUCAUUCUUUGCGGAUGCAUGAAUGGCAGCAGGCACCCUUUUUCAUGGGGGUAGAGGCGUUCGACUGCUGCAUCUUCUAAACAAGCCUCCAUCCAGCCUUUGUAGUUCUGUGCUGCGAACUUGGCCUCGAGAAGAUUGCGUAAGGUGUAGGACACUUUAACGUCUGCGCAGCGUGCUGCACUGUAGAUCGGGACCCCAGUGACCUCGCCCACCUUCCCUGCUUCUGCAGCCUGCCUGCCUCUGCAUUGGUCAGAGGGAUUCUUAACUGAAAACUUGUGGGUGUUGGGGAAAGCUGUUGGGUUGUAAAUGACUGGUGUGGAGGAAUCUUCCUUAGAUGGAGCUGGUUGUAAAAUGGGUAGGGUUUGUGGUUUAACAGUGGGAAGGCGCAAGUUAGCCACAAAUUCUGCCGACUUGGUAGAUGCCGUAUCUAAUUUGGGCUUUGGGACGUCUUCUGGACUAAAAGGGAUCCGUGGGCCCGAAGUGGUCCCUGGGAAUGGUCUCUCCCAGGGUGUGGAUUUGAUACUGGGUGGUUGAGUGGCAACAGUGGUUCUGGCCCCUUUUGUUCAUUAGCUUUUAUGACUUAGGGCCUGGCUGUGUAUACCAGGCUGGCCUGGGUUCACAGCCCUGCUCAGAUGACAGUGUCCUGAAACAAUGGCCUUCCAAGGUGAAACCUGAGUUAUGGAUCAAGCUUGGGAAUAAUACUUUUGGCACCAGAUAUGGGACUUGUGGGAGAAAGCAGGGCUCAGCUUGGCAUUGCAAAAUAAAGGUUUGAGAUUGAAGCUUCUUAGAAUUGUCAUGGCUGUUACAUUCUCGACCUCUGUCACUUUGCCUUCAUAUAGUUAGGCCUAGAUGCACUGCACCAUGGAAGCAGUUAGAGCAGGUCUGGUCUGAGCAGCUUGUCAACUCUCUGGGAGGGAAGGGCUGCUCACUGUGAGCUGACAAUGGCUGCAGACAUGACACUGAGUCAUGGGAUAAUGGCACUGCAGGUAAGGGAGUAUUCUGAACAUGAUCUAGAACAUUCCCACCAUGACGUUAGAUUUAUUCAGUUAUUCAGCCUUUCUUGUGCUUUUUUUUUUUUUUCUUUCCUUUUGAAAGAAGGGUUAUUAGUUAAAUGGCGGCGGCGGUAACUGUCUUCUGUGUUGCUGGGCCUGCUGUCGUAAGGAGCUAGGUUGUGGAAGGAUCACACACUGUCUUGAUGCCCUGGAAGACAAGGGCCCCUUCUGUAUGCUAUGCCCCUCGUCCUCUUUUCAGACCCCACUUCUGGAGUCGAGCAAAGACACUCAAUUUCGUGCCCGUCAUCUGGGCUCCGUGUGAGACCGUGGUUCCCUGAACUGAGCCUGUCGCUCGCUGGUCCUCAGAAUGCUGGAGGGUUUCUGUGGCCUUCAAGGGCCUUAACACUGAGCUGUAAUCACCAGGGCACCCAGUGCUCACUCUGGCAGGUGGGUGAGCGAGCACCUUGACUAUGAGACUUGGGGUGUUGUGGCUGUAGGAUGGAUUUGUCUUUCUGCAAAUGUCUGCCCCCUGAGCUUAACCAGUGCUCCAAAGAGCAACUGUCCAUCCUUCCAUAUGCAGACGUGCGCCUUGAGCCUGCAGACAAGAUGCUGAGUUAACAUCCAACACUUCAAAUAUGUGCCUUCUAGAGCAACAGCUGAGCAGGGGCGUUAAGGCGUGACACUUCUCUUCAUCCUACAGAGUACACAGCUAUGGUGUCCCAUGACACCCGGGUGUUUGGUGCGCCUCACUGGAGGCUCAGUUACUCUCAGAAGUCAUUGUUCUAGGGUUACUGGACUGUGUGAUAUUUCUCUCUCACGACUCUGAAGACAUCCAGUCUGACCUUUAACAAGAAGCUUUAGAUGACGCAAGCAGCUCUCUCUGGGUUCUGUUUUGUUUUGGUGCUGGAAUGAAACCCUGUACACGAAAGGCCGACCCUCUCCUGCUCAGCUCUGUCCCCACACCUCUGCUAAUGUGGAGAGUUAGUGCCACCUGAGUUUCAUGAAUCUUUCUCCCUGGUCUCCUUGGAUUCUGUGUUCUUAUGUUCAACCUACUUAUGCCCACCCAGGUUAUCCACUCCUGUCAGCAGGAACAGGAGGUGGCGGUUGGAGUCUUGCUCUGCUUCUGCCCUUUGGCUACAGGCAAGGUCCUCGGUUGCUGAUAGCGAAGCGUGUUUGAGGAGGCCACUUGAAACCCCUGAGGAGUGAGUGUUUUGCAAAGCACGUGGGGUUUCCAGCAAAGGAAAACAGUGAACUAUUGGCCAUGGUUUCAAAGCAGACCCAUGAACAAACAAAGUGACUGGCCCUGUCCUGCUUUUCACUGGAACAGGCCUCAGAAGGUGAUGGCACAAGCCAGGAGGUAACUACAGAAGAAUGUAGCAUAGCCAGGAGUGAGAAUAGAAAUCACUCCGAGGCUCAGGAGGCUGGGGGCCUGCCACAGCGGUGAGGGCGGCAGGUGAGCAGGGCUGGCUGUGGUCCCUAGGCUUAUAUAUUUAGUAGCUUUGCUCUCUCUGCUGUGUUUGUAAUUUAGUUCUGCUGGAUUAUUUAAACUUAGCCCUCCAGAUUCCAGGUGCUUAGCCGUUGUUCUUUCUCCUCCCCCAUGGUCCAUGUGCGCUGUAAUGCAUAGCGAUCUGAGGGAGUUGGAAUGGAGUCUGAACUGCAGAACAUAUACAGGACGUAUAGUACAGCUCCUUUAUUUUAUUUUUUUGGGGGGGUCAGGGUCUCACUGUGUGUAGCUCUGAGUGUCCUGGAACUCACUCUAUAGACCAGGUCAGCCUAGAACUCAGAGAUCCCCAGGUAUCUGCCUCUAUUGAUUUUAGUUGUUGUCUGUGGUUUUUUUGCUUUGGUUUCUUCUUUUGUUGUUGUUUUUUGUUUGUUUGUUUGUUUGUUUUUUGGGGCGUUGUUUUUGUUUUUGUAGCCCUGGCCAGCUUUGAACUCAUGAUCUUCAUGUGUUGGCCUCUGAAGUACUGGGCUCACAGGACAGGCAUAUGCCAUCACACACAGCCACUAAUGGUUAUAGACGUUUUAUCGCAGAUGAGAGAUGUUUGUCACAUUGGAACAACCCCUCCAGUGUUCUGGGAAUAAAUCCAUGAUUGUAUCCUUGAGCAAUGAAAGGUUUGAAUGGCGUUUUCCUGUCAUCACUGCAUCUGUGGCUGAGUUACCAUCCCGUCCUCUACAGCCUUACCUACAUCUCACACAUACACACUCACUCACACACAUACACACACACUCACACAUACUCACACACACACUCACACAUACACACACACACAUUCUCACACACACACUCUCUCACACACACACACACACAGAGUUUUUAUUGCAGUGAACUGGUUUCUUUUUCCCAGUUGUGGUUGUUGGUUGAAGGUUGUCUUCCAUGUGUUAUGGUGGGGCCUAGCUACUAACACUGAGAUCAUGUGACGCCCCUUGGGUUGAGGACAUACCUAGAAGCCAUUUAACCAGUGGUCUUGUUCCUUAUGUGACUCAACUCUUGGGGUUCCUGCAGUCACAGAUGAGGGUCCUGUCACCCCCAUGUUGAAUUAAUCCUUUGCUCAUCUUACAGGAUGUGUUCUGACUCCCCCCAUUUCUGAGGGCUUGUAAGGCCCAAGCUCUCUGAGUACCUCUCAGGCUGGGACUUAGAUGGCCGUACCUAUUCCCUCUGCUGUGGCCUCAGACCCUCAGUUUCCCACCUGGACCUUGUGGAGAAUAUGGAUUCCUGAGCCUCUUUAGACUCAAAGAAGGGGAUCCACAGUCCUCCCCAUGACUCAAAGAGGACUGCAGGGUUUAUAGGGUGCUCUGUGCACCUUGCGGCUCUGGGACCUUCGUGACUCUCCUCCUUGGAACCUGGAUGGCAUGCUAGAGCUCAAAAACACCAGAGAGCUGAUGGGGAUACUAUUUCCGGACGGACUUACAUUUCCAAGCCAAGGCAGUGCCCUGGAAGACUCCUGCUGUGACCACAAGCUCAGAGAAUGGAAGGCAGGUGGACUCACUCAUCUGUGUGACAUAGGUAGCCAGGACCCAGCAGGUUUGGAGAACCCGUUCGCUCACUGCACUUGAGUUAGCCCAAGUGUUGAAAGCUCCCUUAGUUCUGAGACCUGUUUAAUUGUGAGUUAUUGGCAUAAAGUUGGAAGCCGUGGGAAAAGUAUAAAAUGAGAAUAGCAACCCUCUUCCCCUCUCCUACCUCCCCACCACACAGAGGCAGCCCUCGGGUGGCUUAGGGAGUGUCUACACACACAGAGCUUACUGCACCAGACCCUGUCUCAGAGCAAUUAGGCUGUGACUUGUGGUUCAUUUUUUGGAGUCUGAUUUCAUGCAUGCACUUCUCAUGUAGGGUGGGGAACACUCACUUGGAGGCAGGGGGACAUGAGUCCCCUGGAGCCUUUGGCAGGGCAUCAGGACCGGCAGGAGUGAGCCUGGGAGGGGCACGGAGCCGCCGCAGGUGUUUCUUUUCCUGACCGCGGCUCAUGGCCGCGCUCAGGUUUUGCUUUUCACCUUUGUCUGAGAGAACGAACGUGAGCAGGAAAAAGCAAAAGGCACUGGUGGCGGCACGCCCGCACCUCGGGCCAGGGUUCGAGUC
rnacentral:lncRNA from 1 species